rnacentral:rRNA from 1 species
UGCAAGUCGAACGGCAGCACAGUAAGAGCUUGCUCUUAUGGGUGGCGAGUGGCGGACGGGUGAGGAAUACAUCGGAAUCUACUCUGUCGUGGGGGAUAACGUAGGGAAACUUACGCUAAUACCGCAUACGACCUACGGGUGAAAGCAGGGGAUCUUCGGACCUUGCGCGAUUGAAUGAGCCGAUGUCGGAUUAGCUAGUUGGCGGGGUAAAGGCCCACCAAGGCGACGAUCCGUAGCUGGUCUGAGAGGAUGAUCAGCCACACUGGAACUGAGACACGGUCCAGACUCCUACGGGAGGCAGCAGUGGGGAAUAUUGGACAAUGGGCGCAAGCCUGAUCCAGCCAUACCGCGUGGGUGAAGAAGGCCUUCGGGUUGUAAAGCCCUUUUGUUGGGAAAGAAAUCCAGCCGGCUAAUACCUGGUUGGGAUGACGGUACCCAAAGAAUAAGCACCGGCUAACUUCGUGCCAGCAGCCGCGGUAAUACGAAGGGUGCAAGCGUUACUCGGAAUUACUGGGCGUAAAGCGUGCGUAGGUGGUCGUUUAAGUCCGUUGUGAAAGCCCUGGGCUCAACCUGGGAACUGCAGUGGAUACUGGACGACUAGAGUGUGGUAGAGGGUAGCGGAAUUCCUGGUGUAGCAGUGAAAUGCGUAGAGAUCAGGAGGAACAUCCAUGGCGAAGGCAGCUACCUGGACCAACACUGACACUGAGCACGAAAGACGUGGGGAGCAAACAGG